rnacentral:rRNA from 1 species
UACGUAGGGGGCAAGCGUUGUCCGGAAUUAUUGGGCGUAAAGAGCGUGUAGGCGGCCAGAUAAGUCCGCUGUGAAAUCUCGAGGCUCAACUUCGAGCUGUCGGUGGAAACUGUCUGGCUAGAGUCCGGAAGAGGAGAAUGGAAUUCCGUGGUGUAGCGGUGAAAUGCGCAGAUAUCAGGAAGAACACCCGUGGCGAAGGCGGUUCUCUGGGACGGUACUGACGCUGAGACGCGAAAGCGUGGGGAGCGAACAGG